GUGAUGUGUGUUAUGCUGUAUAUGAUUGGAGAUGGAGAUCUAGAAAGCAUAAAUGUACAUUUAGCUAAUGCAUGUUUAAUCCAUCCAUCUUCCAUAAAAGUUUAUUCGGUACAGGGUGGUGGUGAACCUGGAACCUACCACAGGAAGCACAUGGGCAAAGAGAGGGAGAGGGAGAGAGAGGGGGACAGAAGGACGAAAACGGAGAAGAAGGGAAAUAGAGAGA